AGUGAACGCUGGCGGUAGGCCUAACACAUGCAAGUCGAACGGCCGCACAGUAAGCGCUUGCUUUUACGGGUGGCGAGGGGCGGACGGGUGAGGCAUACAUCGGAAUCUACUUUUUCUGGGGGGAUAACGUAGGGAAACUUACGCUAAUACCGCAUAUGUCCUACGGGUGAAAUCAAGAGUUCAUCGGACCUUGCCCGUUUCAAUGAGACGAGGUCGGAUUACCUAGUUGGCUGGGUAAAGGCCCGCCAAAGCGACGAUCCGAAGCUGGUCUGAGGGGAGUGUCAGGCAAACUGGGAAUGAGACACGGUUCAGGCUCCUACGGGAGGCAGCAGUGGGGAAUAUUUGAGCAAUGGGGGAAGCCUGAUCCAGCCAUACCGCGUGGGUGAAUAAGGCCUUCGGGUUGGAAAACCCCUGUGUUUGGAAAGAAAAGUAGCAGGUUAAAACCCCGCUGUUCUGACGGUACCCAAAUAAGAAGCACCGGCUAACUUCGGG
rnacentral:rRNA from 1 species